GUGGUUUGUAGUUAGGCCCACAAGCUGAUAAUACUUGUAGUUCACGAUCUUUCAAAUGUACGCACUCUGUGCACAUUAAUCAGGCAUAACAUAACGCCUGCACCGCAUCUGCACCUUGGCAUUCGUUUCGAGUAUUGCGCUGUGCCUGCACCGCAGAAACAAGCUGCACAAUUUCUGAACUUCUCGUGAACCUCCGUUAACUGGUUGACAGUUGUGCAGGUGAAUUGAACAGCCCUUUUAAGUGCUUCCACAUGAAGUUCUUAUUUGCCCUUACGUUGCUUAGUGGCCUGAUGGCUGCUUCAGGUAUUGUACAAAAUGUUCGAUUCAACAUUGAAAGAAAAUUCAAGGAUAUGAAUGCUCAUGAAGGCCAAAAUUCAGUGACAUACAAAUGCAUUAAUUCUGCACAUAAACUAAAUAUUGUCAAAUUUCCUUCUUCCUAGCUGCAUUCAGUUAAGCAUGCUACUAAGUUGGAAUUGCUGGAAAAGUGUAAAAAAAGGCAAUUCUCUUUUAUAGUGUAGAGUGUCGACUGAUAACUGGCCUUACGGCCAGAAAUGAUGUGCAUACCUUGAGGAGGAUGCUUUAGUUCAGUGCCAACUCUAAUCUCUUUAUUCAAAUACAUGUAAAAUGCAGAAAUGCUUUUGAGACAACUACUGGAAUAAUUUCAAUGAAAUUUGUUGCAUUUGAGAGAAAAAGAUAAAAUUUAGUCAUUCUAGGCUGCAUAAUUUUGAUUUAGGACCUUGAAUAUUUAGGAAAAAUUGCUGAGAGUCAGUAAGCUUAAAAAAUAUAAGCACGAAGUUUACAAUUUCAUAGCUUUUGUAUCAAGUUGUAAACUUCAUACGGAAGUCUUUUUAAUUUCACAAUUUUCAAAAUUUCCUGCCAAAAAAAUUGCCCCCUAGAACAGUCGCUACAUUUCAGCUUUUUUUUUUUUUUUUUUUACAUGUAACCAACCUCAUCGAAUUCCGUUGCUGGCUUCAGAGAAAAACUAUUUCUCUUUUCCCAUGUAUUCAGAUAGGAGCUCCAGAGAUAAAACUGCCUCCAAGUCAGGUGGAAAAGGAAAGUAUCAGCAACGUUCUCACACCUACACUGUCCUUAUUGCAAUCUGCCAGUAUCCAGAACGAAGAUCAACAGAAGAGAAAUAGCUGGAACCGUGGAGGCAGUGAAGGGCAUCGUCUAUAUUUGGGAGCGGGCCACAGAAGAGACCAGGGUCACGAUGUUGGGCAACCAUGACGAUAAGAGCAGUCGGACAAGCUGAAGCCGUUGCAGAUGCGGUCUCGU
rnacentral:misc_RNA from 1 species